rnacentral:rRNA from 1 species
UUUGGCCUACGGGAGGCAGCAGUCGGGAAUAUUGCGCAAUGGAGGAAACUCUGACGCAGUGACGCCGCGUAUAGGAAGAAGGUCUUCGGAUUGUAAACUAUUGUCGUUAGGGAAGAGAAAGGACAGUACCUAAGGAGGAAGCUCCGGCUAACUACGUGCCAGCAGCCGCGGUAAUACGUAGGUGGCGAGCGUUAUCCGGAAUGAUUGGGCGUAAAGGGUGCGUAGGCGGCCUGCUAAGUCUGGAGUGAAAGGUACCGGCUCAACCGGUACAGGCUCUGGAAACUGGCGGGCUAGAGAGCAGGAGG